rnacentral:rRNA from 1 species
AGUCCAUGGGCGAGCCUGACGGAGCAUACCGCGUGAGGGAAGACGGCCUAUGGGUUGUAAACCUCUUUUUUCAGGGAGGAAUUCAUGGACUUUACCUGAAGAAUAAGCAUCGGCUAACUCCGUGCCAGCAGCCGCGGUAAGACGGAGGAUGCAAGUGUUAUCCGGAAUCACUGGGCGUAAAGCGUCUGUAGGUGGUUUAAUAAGUCAACUGUUAAAUCUUGAAGCUCAACUUCAAAAUCGCAGUCGAAACUGUUAGACUAGAGUAUAGUAGGGGUAAAGGGAAUUUCCAGUGGAGCGGUGAAAUGCGUAGAUAUUGGAAAGAACACCGAUGGCGAAAGCACUUUACUGGGCUAUUACUGACACUCAGAGACGAAAGCUAGGGUAGCAAAUGGGAUUAGAUACCCCAGUAGUCCUAGCCGUAAACAAUGGAUACUAGAUGUUGAACAGAUCGACCUGUUCAGUAUUAAAGCUAACGCGUUAAGUAUCCCGCCUGGGAAGUAUGCUCGCAAGAGUGAAACUCAAAGGAAUUGACGG